rnacentral:rRNA from 1 species
GUAGGGGGCAAGCGUUGUCCGGAUUUAUUGGGCGUAAAGCGCGUGUAGGCGGCCAGGCAGGUCCGUUGUGAAAACUGGAGGCUCAACCUCCAGACGUCGAUGGAAACCGCUUGGCUAGAGUCCGGAAGAGGAGAGUGGAAUUCCUGGUGUAGCGGUGAAAUGCGCAGAUAUCAGGAAGAACACCGAUGGCGAAGGCAGCUCUCUGGGACGGUACUGACGCUGAGACGCGAAAGCGUGGGGAGCGAACAGGAUUAGAUACCCUGGUAGUCCACGCCGUAAACGAUGGGUGCUAGGUGUGGGAGGUGUCGACUCCUCCCGUGCCGCAGCUAACGCAUUAAGCACCCCGCCUGGGGAGUACGGCCGCAAGGCUAAA